rnacentral:rRNA from 1 species
UACGUAGGGUGCAAGCGUUGUCCGGAAUUAUUGGGCGUAAAGAGCUCGUAGGCGGCUUGUCACGUCGACUGUGAAAACCCGGGGCUCAACUCCGGGCCUGCAGUCGAUACGGGCUGGCUUGAGUGCGGUAGGGGAGACUGGAAUUCCUGGUGUAGCGGUGAAAUGCGCAGAUAUCAGGAGGAACACCGAUGGCGAAGGCAGGUCUCUGGGCCACAACUGACGCUGAGAAGCGAAAGCAUGGGGAGCGAACAGG